rnacentral:rRNA from 1 species
UACGAAGGUCCCAAGCGUUAUCCGGAUUUAUUGGGUUUAAAGGGUGCGUAGGCGGGUUAUUAAGUCAGUGGUGAAAGCUCCAUGCCUAACAUGGAAAUUGCCAUUGAUACUGAUGAUCUUGAGUACAUUUGAAGUGGGCGGAAUGUGUCAUGUAGUGGUGAAAUACUUAGAUAUGACACAGAACACCGAUGGCGUAGGCAGCUCACUAAACUGUAACUGACGCUGAGGCACGAAAGCGUGGGGAGCAAACAGG